rnacentral:lncRNA from 1 species
CGGAGAAGGACAGCUGGGGUAUAUAAAGGAGAGAGGUCUGGAGUCAUCUCCCAAAAAACCUUGUAGAACACUGACGCCAAGAAGAACCUCUAGAAACUCUCAAUCUUUACUGGAGUCCAGCAAUCAAAAAACAAAGAAGCUGCCAUACACACACACACACAAACACACACACACACACACACACCCACACACACACACAAAGGUUGCCUUGAAAGAAAAGUGAAGUUUUUGUCAAGAACUGUCUUCUGACACUGACAUGAUGGAAUCCUUGACCAGCCUGUACAAUGAUGACCCUUUCUUCAGCCAGGAGAGGUUGCUGUGGCCGCUGCGUCACAAGGCCCUGUCCUCUCUGCAGCAAGACUUCUUUAACCAGAGAGCCAAGCUGGUCGACAGUCUUCUAAGGGAGCUCCAUGAUGGGCCCCAUAUUCUCAAACCUUGGCAGUUUCCCCUCAUUUUCUCUACUUUGGUGAGGCUUAGUGAUGGUAAAGAGCAGCAGAGAGAGACGCCCAGCAUAGAGCUAUGCAAGGAUGCUCAGCCGGCCACAGAAAACAAUGGCGACCUUCUGGUGACCCUAGAUGCUCGCGGUUACACCCCAAAUGACAUCUCAGUCAAGCUAGAGGGCAGGAUCCUGGCAGUGGUGGCGGUGAAGCAGGCCGGUUUGGAGGAGAGCCAGUCCUGCUCCUCCUACUCCUCCUGUGCCUCUGUCUGUUCCUCGGCUUCGUCUCAAAUAGGAUUCGCCCAGAAGUUCGACCUGCCAGCUCACCUUGAUCUGUCUGGACUCUCCUGUUCCCUGAUGGAUGAUGGACAGCUGUGCAUCUACGCCCCCAGGGCCAGGCAGCCAGUCACUUUGGAACGCCAAGUGCCCAUUCGGUUCAGAGAGGAGAACCAAUCAGUCAAUCAAGACCAGCAACUCCUGAGAUGAGCAACACAGAGGUCCUGCAUCUACCAUCUUCUGAUGAUGUUGGCAGUCAUAUUAGGCAGUCGACAAGCAGGCAUGGAUCUGAAGAUGACUGUUUAAUGCCUGUGUCAAAUCAAGAUGCAGACCUGUUGUUAAGUGACGAGUCAGAUUCCCCUCUUGCCCUUGCCAUCCAAGUAUGUCUUGAGGACUCUGAAGUACACUUUGGACCCAUUUGUGGUGAUGAUGGUGAUAAUCAAGACUCCCCCCUUCCCUGGAAUCCAUAUGGCUUCAACAGUAUGCAGCACUCUACACUGAAUGACGGACCUGUAUCAUCAAGCAGCCUUCCAGCAUCACCAGACCCAUUUGAAAAAGAACUCCUUCUUGUGAAAGUAAGACGGGUAAACACAGUUGAUGAUGUCCUUAAUAUCUUCAUGGAACCAAAACUACUGAAUUCUAAUCUAAAAAUGGAGUUUACAAAUGAGAAAGCUGUGGACAGUGAUAGUGUGUCAAGUGAGGCAUACUCUGCGUUCUGGGAAGACUUCUUGGAACAGUGUGAGGGGGAAGAUGAACCAGACUACCAGACCAGUAGACCAGAAUGUAAGGGAUCUUACACAUGUUCCUCUUCUACUGACACUGUUAUAGCACUGUUUCUACAGAUUUACAUUUAUUUAUAUAUAGCAGGUAGAUAGCGGCAGUUGGGUAAAACGUCCCUCGCCAGUAGCCACACUUUACUUCCGGGUCUUAAUUGACCAGCUGGACCAUCAUACAUAAGCUGUGGCAUGUCGAUGCUCUCCCUCUCUUUGCUUCUUGGUCCGUGACUGUGUCAGCGUGUCCGCGGUCCCUGUCCAGUUUGGUGCCGGCUUCUCCCUUCGUCUCUGACGGUGUCGGGGCAUGCAAGUCUGCUGUCCUGGUCCAGCCUGGUGCCGGCUUCUCCCCUUUGGCUCCGACGGUGUCAGCGUGUGUGAGUCUGCUGUUCUGGUCUAGUGUGGUGCCGGUUUCUCCCUGCUUCUCCGCUUCCGCGUUAGUGUGUGUGAGUCUGCGGUCCUGAUCCUGUUUGGUGCCAGCUUGUAUGACAAACUUUGCGGACGCUGCAAGUGGUGUAUGGAGAUAAAAGGCGGACUUUGUUUUAUAUGGUGUACUUUAUUUUUUUACAGUGGUUUGAAUUAUUUGUUCUGUUUUGUUGCAGAUUGCCACUGCUGUUUUGUUUUGUUUAGGUUCUGUUGGAUUUAGUUUGUUUUGUUUUGUGUGACUUCAGAGCCGGCCCAAGCCUCCAUGGGGCCCUAAGCAAAAUUUGAUUUUGGGGCCCUCUAUUACUGCCAAUAAUAAUGAUUAUUGUCAUUAUUAUCAUUACGAAUACACUUGUAGAACUAAAUGUGAGAACUUUUUGUUGUAGUUAGAUUGUAAUCCACAGUGAUUAAUGCCAUGGAAGCAGACACCAGAUUUGCAAAUUUACAGAAAAAUCUUUCAAUUAAUAUUUGGCAAAGUCAGCAACUCCCCCUAAUGGCGACACAUUUGUAGUCAAUACAUAAAACCUUAAAGAGCAGCCAAACAUGUUUUACCCAUCUAUGGUUUUUAUUCUGAAAUGGUAGCAAAUUCAGCUACAAGAGCAGCCUGGGGUUGAUUAACACUUAAUAUUCAAAGUGAUAUAGUACUAAGUGGGAUACCGAAUGUCAUCUAGGCCAAUUAAAAGUAACAAAAUAAACUAAUCGUUUACUGCAAACACAAUCUGCUUUAUCAUUAUUUUUUUGAAUAAACUGCAACACCAAAUGUAUGAAAACAGACAGUAUUAAAUACAAUAAAUUUUUAAAAAAUCAGACAAAUACUAGGUACAAGGUAACACAAAUGGUUUAUAAAUAAAAUAUUAAGAUGAAUUAGGUCUGAAAACUAUGUAAAAAUGUGCAAAAUCUUUGGUAAAAUGGGACGGGGGCUUCGGCCAUCGUGUCUUUUUGGGAAUAUGACUGUGUCCUCUAUAGGCAGUGGCCCUCUUAAUACCUGUUCAGUCCUUUCUGAGUCUGACAAGAAAGAGGGACACUCAGCUGGGUCAACUGGCGGAGCUGCUGAUCCCUGCACCAAACUGGACGCUGAUGAGGACAAAUCAAUCUCGAUGACCAAAGAUGAAGGACCUACAGGGAAAUUACAAUAAUAUUUUGGACAAAAUUAUUCAUCUCAGAAUAUUCUGCAGUACACUGAGCAAUUAUAAAGGCUGUUUUGUUGUUAACUUACCAGGUACAGCUGAGGUUGCAGAAGACACAAAAGGGACAGUGGGCACAGAGGAUAGAGAUGGACCUAAGAUGAAAAACAAGCUAGCCAUGUUAUAGUCAUAUUACACUUGAAAAUGAUGCAGCUUAUUUUCUAAAUAAAAAAAGUACAGCUAUAGCUUGUAAUAAGAAAAGUUUUGAAAUAAUAUGGAUUUGCGUAAAAUCAUGUCCCUUGUCAUAUAAUUAUAUGUUAUAUUAAAAAGAAAAUUCAUCUCAGAAUGUUCUGCAGUGCACUGAGCUAUUAAAGGCUGUUUUAGAGAUGGACUUGAGAUUAAAAAAAAAAAAAACAUAUCCCUUGUCAUAUGAUUAUAUCUUAUAUUAGUAUAUCUUAAUGAGAUAAUUUGACUAGAAAUUAAAUAUAUAUGGUGACAGUUUUUUGAUCACCUCAUUCAUCAGCCUUGGCUGCUCCUGAGGAGGUGGAUUGCCCCUGGGCUGAGUCAGUGCCUCCAAAAUAUUUUAACAGUGCUCCUGGGGAAGUUUCAUAUAAGGUAUGAGCAUAUUAGGGAGAUGAUGUAAAAGGAAUAUGUUUAUUUAGUCACAUUAGUUACUGUGCUCUGCAGCAAACAAUUGCAAACAACAUACCUCAAACUAGUUAGUUAACUAAAUUAUUUAAUUAAUGCAGAACCAUAUUGCUAGCAAACGUCACCGCGUUUGUAAUUAACGUUAGUUAUUAAACAUUUGCUAUCAAACAGUGUUAUCAAAAACGUUGUUUUGAUGCCAAAAAGUGACCCAGAAUAAUGUAUAUACACUGAAAAUCAACUAAUUCAAAGUAUUACACAAACACAAAAACGUUAGCUUGAAUAGUAAGCUAUCUAACCUAGUCAGACGUUUUGAACUAAUGUUAGCUAGCAAAUUUGCUAUUAUAGACUAAUAUACAGUAUUUGGAACAAAAUAUCAACAAAUGUUACAUUACUAAGACAUACCUUUAUCUUGUCGUCUUCAUCUUUCUUCCUUUUUCUUUUUUCUGCCCCUGAAGGGUAAGUCCUUUUUUGCGACAUCUUUCACCUGCUUCUAGCUCCUGGAUGCUGCGUGCGCACUGCACGGUUGGCUGCACUGCACACAUCUCUAGCAGUACUCUAACAUUUCGAGCAGAGAGGCAGUAGGAAACUACACUCUUUGUUGUUGGGGUUUUGUUGUUGUUGUUUUUUUGUACAAGUAUGUACAUUUGAUAAUAUAUGAAUCAUCAUUACUCACACAUGGAAAAAAAAAAUUACUUUUUUCUUUUUUAAGUGAAUUGCUCUUGGGGGCCCUCUAGUGGUCACGGGGCCCUAAGCAGCUGCUUAGUUCGCUGAUGCCUUGGGCCGGCCCUGUGUGACUUGGUUGUUUAGUUUCCAUGUAGAUUCUUGCUCUCUUUGGCUUAAAGUUAAUUCUUCUAGAUUGGGUUUAUUUUGUUUUGUCCCACUUAAUUUGUUUAUUAUUUCCCACCAAGGAGGAAAAGAAACUAACAGAGCUGCAUUGCCUAUUUGUGCGUUUUUUAUGGAGAGCUAAUGUGUUUCCCUCUCUCUGUGAGUGCUGUAGGGGCAGCGGCAAGUGAGGCCGGCCGAUGGUGGAGGGUUUGGUGAUAGAGUCUCUCACCUGUACUUCACACCCCCUCUGAUUUUGUGUGCUUGGUAAUUAUAUUUGCACGUCCCUCACGAUUUUAUAGUUGAUCCCUUUCUUUGUUUGGUUUUGCUGUGUGCAUGUGUGUAGGGCACUGGAGUGGGGUGAGUACUCUGUCCCAGUGUGAAUUGUCCCUCUGCCGUCUGCGGCCUCGGCCGCCUAUCCUCAGUACGCUCCUAGUCAUUUUUUAACUGCUAGCUUUAAUAAAUUGCCUCUUUUAAUAUUAAUAAUUGUUGUUGGCAGCUCUGUAAAUAAAACUGUAAUCUUGGUGGGAAACACCCUUGUCUCAGUCCAUCAUUCUUGUCGAUCUGUAUCAGUAAAAGAAUCUGUGGCACCUUUAUUAGGUGAUUGAAGUAUUUAAAGUACCAAUAAGAUUUGAAGUGGAUGGUGAAAUUGCGGGCCUUGCCACGGUCUAGUCACAUAUAUUUAAAAAAAACUUUGUUCAUUCAUGUAUUACAACUAAGAAAAAGUGUACUACAAGAAGAGGAGAUGAAAUCAGAUGCAUAAUCUGAUGACAAUGCUUUAUUACUCUUAAAACUGAAACAGUUUUUACAUUGUCUUGUUUUUGUUAUUUUCUUAUUUUUAAUGAUUUUGCCAUAUUAUUUGUCAGCACACUGAGUUUAACAUUUUGACACCUUAAGUUAAAUCAUUUUGAUAAGUCAUCAAGGUCUGCUCUCAUAGGUGAGCAUCCCUUUUUUCAGGCAUGUAUCAUUUUCACAUUAUCCUGUGCAUGUUUUUUGCAAUUGUUAUUAAGAAAGAAGUUCAGCUUCAACAAAAUGAUACCUGUUCGAUACACAUACAGUACCAUUUCAAAUGGCUACCCAUGGCUGUUUUUGCUGGAGUGUCAUAUGGUAAACAUACAGACAGUAACUGUCAAGAGCACAAUAUUGUGGAAUAAAAAUGUAAUUGCUCUUUCAUGUCCUGCCUUGUUGUUUUUCUUUGCUGUGAUUUUGUUCGUUUCCUAUUCAUGGCUGAUGUAAAGUAAAACAUCUACGACAAUACUAUAGUUGUAAAACAAAUGUAAGUCUCUAUUUCCAGCACAAAUUACUGAGAAGAGCUAAUACUCUGUCAUUUGAAAAAUGUACACUUCUGUGCUUCAUUGAAUGGGGAUUACCCGAAGAGACAGAAGUAACUGAGACAGCCUAAAUCCACACAAGAACUGCUAAAAGUUAUCCAUGACAGGCAAAACCUGCCAAAUACCUUGGAAAAACUGUGCACAAUAUCGCUGCAAAAGUUCUUAAUGUUUAACACUCAGUGUGCACAUAGUGACAGAUUAAUCCCUUUUCCAAGGAGAAAUAAUCCAAAAUUCCAAAUAUAGCUUCUACAGAGUUCCUG